rnacentral:rRNA from 1 species
UGUGCCCUUGAGGCGUGGCUUCCGGAGCUAACGCGUUAAGUCGACCGCCUGGGGAGUACGGCCGCAAGGUUAAAACUCAAAUGAAUUGACGGGGGCCCGCACAAGCGGUGGAGCAUGUGGUUUAAUUCGAUGCAACGCGAAGAACCUUACCUGGUCUUGACAUCCACGGAAGUUUUCAGAGAUGAAAAGGUGCCUUCGGGAACCGUGAGACAGGUGCUGCAUGGCUGUCGUCAGCUCGUGUUGUGAAAUGUUGGGUUAAGUCCCGCAACGAGCGCAACCCUUAUCCUUUGUUGCCAGCGGUCCGGCCGGGAACUCAAAGGAGACUGCCAGUGAUAAACUGGAGGAAGGUGGGGAUGACGUCAAGUCAUCAUGGCCCUUACGACCAGGGCUACACACGUGCUACAAUGGCGCAUACAAAGAGAAGCGACCUCGCGAGAGCAAGCGGACCUCAUAAAGUGCGUCGUAGUCCGGAUUGGAGUCUGCAACUCGACUCCAUGAAGUCGGAAUCGCUAGUAAUCGUGGAUCAGAAUGCCACGGUGAAUACGUUCCCGGGCCUUGUACACACCGCCCGUCACACCAUGGGAGUGGGUUGCAAAAGAAGUAGGUAGCUUAACCUUCGGGAGGGCGCUUACCACUUUGUGAUUCAUGACUGG